GGGAGAUCGAGGGCCAAACGGUAGUCAAGGAGUUCCUGGGCCUCGAGGUGACAAGGGUCGAGAGGGUCAAGCAGGAUUUUAUGGGUUGCCAGGUCCAAUUGGAGAGAUGGGGAUAUCUGGAGAGAGAGGACGUGAAGGAGAACCUGGUAUUAAGG